UGGCACUGUAUACAAUAGGAAGAUUUUUGACCUGACCACUACCACCUAGGUUACUCUUGACUUAGGACUGAAAACACCUACCAGGGCUUCAGAAGUCAAUCAUUCAGUGAGUUGCUGGAGACUUCAGACUCAGGCAUCCGCAGUUGUGCUGUCUCCUUGAGACUGUGUGGGAUCUACCAGCCAUGGAUAGAGG